rnacentral:rRNA from 1 species
UGGGGAAUAUUGCACAAUGGGCGCAAGCCUGAUGCAGCCAUGCCGCGUGUAUGAAGAAGGCCUUCGGGUUGUAAAGUACUUUCAGCGGGGAGGAAGGUGUUGAGGCUAAUAACCUCAGCAAUUGACGUUACCCGCAGAAGAAGCACCGGCUAACUCCGUGCCAGCAGCCGCGGUAAUACGGAGGGUGCAAGCGUUAAUCGGAAUUACUGGGCGUAAAGCGCACGCAGGCGGUCUGUCAAGUCGGAUGUGAAAUCCCCGGGCUCAACCUGGGAACUGCAUUCGAAACUGGCAGGCUAGAGUCUUGUAGAGGGGGGUAGAAUUCCAGGUGUAGCGGUGAAAUGCGUAGAGAUCUGGAGGAAUACCGGUGGCGAAGGCGGCCCCCUGGACAAAGGCUGACGCUCAGGUGCGAAAGCGUGGGGAGCAAACA